rnacentral:lncRNA from 1 species
AUCCAGAGAGGGCACCUACAUUGGUGAUGUCUUCUUUUCUCUACAGAUAAGCAGAGCAGAGGAUCUACAGAUGGAAUACUGUGGGAUCAGGUAAGUAAGUGUGUGUUAUCACCCACGCCAAGAGCAGCAGAGCACAGAUGGGCAUGAAGUCCCCAGCCAGUGAAUCUCUCAGUGCUGCUGUGGCUCCCAUAGCUAAGCCAGAAAACCUCAGAGAAGAGACGUAUGGAUGCUUAAACCUCUUUGCUCCCCAGAAGGGCAGAAGUCAUCCCAGUCCUGGGUCAGACCACUCCUCCUGGCACCAGAAUGAAGCAUUCAAAUGAACACAAAGUCAACUUUCCAGCCACGGUUUUGGUGAUGAGAAAGUGCAAUAUAAAGUGAAAUUCUUCUCCCCCUCAGUGGAAGGAAUUGUAGCACCUGUCCAGCUCUUUGCCUCUGUGUUACUGUGAGGCAAGCUGAGUUUGGGAUUCUUCUGUCCAUGAAGAAGUCUUCAGUGUGGAGAGCACUAGCCUAAACAGGAGUCUGAAGGUAGGUUCUACAUGCUUUCAUUUGUUUCCAUCUCUUCACAGCACGUCAUCAAAGAGAUCUCCUCAUUAUCAUCAUCUCUUCAGUUAUGCCACCACUAACUGAUGGCUAAACUACAAAAUGUAAUAUUCCUUCUGAAUUCUGCAAGAUAGUAUUAAAAACCCUUAUGUUUUUAACUGCUAUCUGAUGUCAGCACUGUGUACCAAUGAC